rnacentral:misc_RNA from 1 species
GUAACAAGGUUUCCGUAGGUGAACCUGCGGAAGGAUCAUUACAGUAUUCUUUUUGCCAGCGCUUAAUUGCGCGGCGAAAAAACCUUACACACAGUGUUUUUUGUUAUUACAAGAACUUUUGCUUUGGUCUGGACUAGAAAUAGUUUGGGCCAGAGGUUUACUGAACUAAACUUCAAUAUUUAUAUUGAAUUGUUAUUUAUUUAAUUGUCAAUUUGUUGAUUAAAUUCAAAAAAUCUUCAAAACUUUCAACAACGGAUCUCUUGGUUCUCGCAUCGAUGAAGAACGCAGCGAAAUGCGAUAAGUAAUAUGAAUUGCAGAUUUUCGUGAAUCAUCGAAUCUUUGAACGCACAUUGCGCCCUCUGGUAUUCCAGAGGGCAUGCCUGUUUGAGCGUCAUUUCUCUCUCAAACCUUCGGGUUUGGUAUUGAGUGAUACUCUUAGUUGAACUAGGCGUUUGCUUGAAAUGUAUUGGCAUGAGUGGUACUGGAUAGUGCUAUAUGACUUUCAAUGUAUUAGGUUUAUCCAACUCGUUGAAUAGUUUAAUGGUAUAUUUCUCGGUAUUCUAGGCUCGGCCUUACAAUAUAACAAACAAGUUUGACCUCAAAUCAGGUAGGAUUACCCGCUGAACUUAAGCAUAUC